CCUACGGGUGGCUGCAGUGGGGAAUUGUUCGCAAUGGGCGCAAGCCUGACGACGCAACGCCGCGUGGAGGAUGAAGGUCUUCGGAUCGUAAACUCCUGUUGCGGACGGUACGGUACCAGGUGAGGAAGCCCCGGCUAACUCUGUGCCAGCAGCCGCGGUAAUACAGAGGGGGCAAGCGUUGUUCGGAAUUACUGGGCGUAAAGGGCGCGUAGGCGGCCUGUUAAGUCGAACGUGAAAUCCCCGGGCUCAACCCGGGAACUGCGUCCGAUACUGGCAGGCUUGAAUCCGGGAGAGGGAUGCGGAAUUCCAGGUGUAGCGGUGAAAUGCGUAGAUAUCUGGAGGAACACCGGUGGCGAAGGCGGCAUCCUGGACCGGAUUGACGCUGAGGCGCGAAAGCCAGGGGAGCAAACGGGAUUAGAUACCCGUGUAGUC
rnacentral:rRNA from 1 species